UUGUCUGUAAUGGCUAUUUUGUGUGAUUUGUGGCCUUUUUUGCUCUUGCCUGGAUAACUUUGUGCUUUUGUUUCAUUAAAAUCUUCUAACCUCAUUUGGAUCAUCUUCUUCAUCAUUCCUGACUGCCGGGUCAGUGCCUGCUCACGUUGUACCUGGUGGGUCAGUGCCUGCUCACGUCGUGCCUGGUGGGUCAGUGCCUGCUCACAUUGUGCCUGCCGGUUAGUGCCUGCUCACGUUGUGCCUGCCAGGUCAGUGCCUGCUCACAUCGUGCCUGGUGGGUCAGUGCCUGCUCACGUCGUGCCUGGUGGGUCAGUGCCUGCUCACAUUGUGCCUGCCGGUUAGUGCCUGCUCACGUUGUGCCUGCCAGGUCAGUGCCUGCUCACAUCGUGCCUGGUAGGUCAGUGCCUGCUCACGUUGUGCCUGGUGGGUCAGUGCCUGCUCACGUCGUGCCUGCCAGGUCAGUGCCUGCUCACGUCGUGCCUGGUGGGUCAGUGCUUGCUCACGUCGUGCCUGGUGGGUCAGUGCUUGCUCACAUCGUGCCUGGUGGGUCAGUGCCUGCUCACGUCGUGCCUGGUGGGUCAGUGCCUGCUCACUUUGUGCCUGCCGGUUAGUGCCUGCUCACGUUGUGCCUGCCAGGUCAGUGCCUGCUCACAUCGUGCCUGGUAGGUCAGUGCCUGCUCACAUCAUGCCUGCCGGUCAGUGCCUGCUCACAUCAUGCCUGGUGGGUCAGCGUCUGCUCACGUUGUGUAUGAAGACGUCAACUGCAUCGACAAAUAAAACGACUGUUUAUGACUCAGUGUCAGUUGUGAUGACAUACAGUCACAUCAAUCAGCUGCAUGAAGACUGCAGAGAAACUGCUGGACACGACCAAGACGGUAUUAUUAACAAUAAACAACACUAAUGUCUCGUCUUGAGUCUAACUGGAGCUGGAAAAUCUCUAGAUGCCUCAGGAUUCUCAGAUUCGGCCUCAUCUCAGAGAUGCAGGACAACCACCUAGUAAUACACAAACAAAGGACAACAACCAAAAAUGGGCUAAACAGGUGGAGACCCCAAUACAUAGAGAGAUAAAACAAAGCUGCAAACUUGACGAAAGUCACCUGGUGUACAUUGUGACCGGAGUCGUCCCAGGGAAGAACUGGAUAUCCAUAACAAGAGACGGAAAAGAAUAUCAAGAAGGAAUUAACAUUCCCAGUCAUUUUUGGAGCGCUUACUGUUGCACCAGUAACAAAGGACAACUCGUAGCGAGGGCCUACAUCGCUGAGCAGGAGAACUUUAAAGUCAAACACUCCAACAUUCAGUACCUGAAUACUGAGCUCACUAAACUGUAUAAUUCACCUUUCAGUGUGUUUCCAGGAUUAGACUUAAAGUAACAAGAAUACAGUGUGUGUGAGUACCUGCGUGCAUGUGUGUGUUCGAAUCAGCAACUUUCCUGUUAGAAACAUGUGAAAUCAUCAUAAAAAUGUAUCACUUUGUUGAGCUUCUUUUUA